GGCUCGCGGAGGGCAGGCGGUGUGGGACCGGGCGGAGGGGGCCGCGGCGAUGGCGCCAGACGCGCAGAGCCGGGAAGGCGAAGGCCGGAGCCUCCGGGCCGUGCUGCUGGGGCCGCCCGGGGCGGGCAAGGGCACCCAGGCUCCUAAGCUUGCUGAAACAUACUGUGUUUGCCACCUGGCAACAGGUGACAUGCUGAGGGCCAUGGUGGCUUCAGGAUCGGAGCUGGGUAAAAGGUUGAAGGAGACUAUGGAUGCUGGGAAGCUGGUGAGUGAUGAGAUGGUGGUGGAACUUAUUGAGAAAAACCUGCAGACUCCUCCCUGCAAAAAUGGCUUCCUGCUGGAUGGUUUCCCUCGCACAGUGAAGCAGGCGGAGAUGCUGGAUGAGCUCAUGGAGAAGAGAAGUGAGAAGCUAGAUUCUGUGAUUGAAUUCAGCAUUGCUGACUCCUUACUCAUCCGGAGGAUCACUGGACGGCUGAUCCACCCAGCAAGUGGCCGCUCUUACCAUGAGGAGUUCAACCCCCCUAAAGAGCACAUGAAGGACGAUGCCACUGGGGAGCCCUUGAUCCGCCGUUCUGACGAUACCGAAGUGGCUUUGAAAACUCGUCUGAAGUCCUACCACACGCAGACCACCCCGCUGGUAGACUACUACACCAAACGAGGGAUCCAUACGGCCAUAGAUGCCUCCCAGUCCCCCGACGUGGUGUUUGCCAGCAUCUUGGCAGCCUUCUCAAAAGCCACAUGUAAAGACCUGGUUAUGUUUGUUUAGGGCACAGCUAGUGCAGCGCACUCCCUUUUCCUGUGGGGUCAGGGGGAGGAAAGGCCAAUUAGAGAGCGGAAGGAGGGGGGAUGACAGCCUGAGAGGAGGCUGGGCAAAGUGUCCAUUAAACAAGCAGUUGCUGGUCUAUUUUUCUGGCCUAUCUGAACAUGCUUGUAUGUUUCUGUAUACCUGUGUGAGAGAGAAUAUAGCCUGUAGGGGGCGCAGUGAGCUAAUGUACCGGCCAUUUGCUGCUAACAACAUGUUUACAUCCAGUCGGGUCAAAAGUGAAAGUUUGGUUUCUUCUAAAGAGUCCUAGUUAAUGGGAAAACAGCUGACUUUUCACUGUUCAGUCUGUUUGGCUGGGACCCAGUUUGGGACUAGCAGGAGUACUGGAGGUCAUGGCUGAUCUCGGGGGUGGGAAGCUUGCAAUACACAGCUCAGUGACUCCAUAGGCCAGACAAGACACCACCAAAGGCUGCAUGCUCCAUCACCUCACUCCAUCCCUUCCCCUUGGGAGAAAGGGAGGGCUGGGAGGGAUGGUGGUGGGGGUCACGGCUGCUCAGAGGAAAGGAGGGGAAGAAGGAGAAGGCAGAGUGGUUUGUUUCUCAUCAGAAUCAUGUUCAAGAGGAGAUUGAUCUUCUUUAAUUUAAAAAAAAAAAAAAGAGAGACACAAGUGUUUGGGGAGGAAGAACACAUUGUAUUGGCACAGAAAUCCAUUUUCAUACAAAGAUCAGACUCCUGAGCCUUUGCCCUGCGAUGAGUGUUGGACUUGGUGCAAUUUCAAGCUUCCAAAUGGGACUCCUGGUACUGCCAUUGCUUGGUAGCUCUGCAUGGUUUCUUUUUUCUCUAAGGUCAUUGUAGAAUUUGUUUUUCUGCUUCCUCAACUUAAUUCCCCUAUUGUAGGACCAAAAUGAAUAUGUGAAAUGACUUCUGUAAUGGAGAAAAUAGCUGACUAAAUUGUACUUCCCUCGUUUCCUGGAUAUUUUGGCCUUCCUAAAACAAGGCAAAGGUGGUCUGAGGAGCUUUCUGCUCCUGUGUGAUGCCAUCAGGGACCUGAACUCGAGCCCAAGCCUUCCAUCUUUCUGAUCUUGGAAAAGCUGAACUUCCUAAAAUAAUGACGAAAUACAUAGGAUUUUACCCCUCUCCCACUUGACUGUGGAAGCGACAGUGAAUUGGAUUUUUUGCCUCUUUUUACCAACCAAAUGCUGCCUUGUUUAAUCUCUGAAUCAAUAAAACAUACUUUAUAUUUUG